GACGAACGCUGGCGGCGGGCCUAAUACAUGCAAGUAGAACGCAGUGGCGAACGGGUGAGUAAUGCGUAGGGAACUGCCUCAUAGCGGGGGUAAACUAUUGGAAAGGAUAGCAAAUACCGAAUACGGUGAGAUGGAGCUGUAUUGUAUUAGCUAGUUGGUGAGGUAAAGGCGCACCAAGGCGACGAUACAUAGCCGUCCUGAGAGGGUGAUCAGCCACACUUGGACUGAGACACGGCCCAGACUCCUACGGGAGGCAGCAGUAGGGAAUAUUGGGCAAUGGGCGGAAGUCUGACCCAGCAACGCCGCGUGUAUGAAGAAGGCCUUCGGGUUGUAAAGUACUUUCAGCGGGGAGGCGUUACCCGCAGAAGAAGCACCGGCUAACUCCGUGCCAGCCGCCGCGGUAAUAC
rnacentral:rRNA from 1 species